rnacentral:rRNA from 1 species
ACGGCUCAGUAACACGUGGAUAACCUGCCCUUGGGUCCGGCAUAACUCCGGGAAACUGGAGAUAAUUCCGGAUAACGCACAUAUGCUGGAAUGCUUUAUGCGUAAAAUGGAUUCGUCUGCCCAAGGAUGGGUCUGCGGCCUAUCAGGUAGUAGUGGGUGUAAUGUACCUACUAGCCUACGACGGGUACGGGUUGUGAGAGCAAGAGCCCGGAGAUGGAUUCUGAGACAUGAAUCCAGGCCCUACGGGGCGCAGCAGGCGCGAAAACUUUACAAUGCGGGAAACCGUGAUAAGGGGACACCGAGUGCCAGCAUCAUAUGCUGGCUGUCCAGGUGUGUAAAAUACACCUGUUAGCAAGGGCCGGGCAAGACCGGUGCCAGCCGCCGCGGUAACACCGGCGGCCCGAGUGGUGAUCGUGAUUAUUGGGUCUAAAGGGUCCGUAGCCGGUUUGGUCAGUCCUCCGGGAAAUCUGAUAGCUCAACUAUUAGGCUUUCGGAGGAUACUGCCAGACUUGGAACCGGGAGAGGUAAGAGGUACUACAGGGGUAGGAGUGAAAUCUUGUAAUCCCUGUGGGACCACCUGUGGCGAAGGCGUCUUACCAGAACGGGUUCGACGGUGAGGGACGAAAGCUGGGGGCACGAACCGGAUUAGAUACCCGGGUAGUCCCAGCCGUAAACGAUGCUCGCUAGGUGUCAGGCAUGGCGCGACCGUGUCUGGUGCCGCAGGGAAGCCGUGAAGCGAGCCACCUGGGAAGUACGGCCGCAAGGCUGAAACUUAAAGGAAUUGGCGGGGGAG